AUACGUAGGUGACAAGCGUUAUCCGGAUUUACUGGGCGUAAAGGGCGUGUAGGCGGUCUUGCAAGUCAGAAGUGAAAUUCCUGAGCUCAACUCGGGCGCUGCUUCUGAAACUGCAGGACUUGAGUGCUGGAGGGGAUAGCGGAAUUCCUAGUGGAGCGGUAAAAUGCGCAGAUAUUAGGAAGAACACCGGUGGCGAAGGCGGCUAUCUGGACAGUAACUGACGCUGAGGCGCGAAAGCGUGGGGAGCAAACAGGAUUAGAUACCCUGGUAGUCCGCACAGUAAACGAUGAGCACUAAGUGUCGGAUGAAUUUUCGGCGCUGCAGUUAACACAAUAAGUGCUCCGCCUGGGGAGUACGGUCGCAAGACUGAAACUUAAAUGAAUUGGCGGGG
rnacentral:rRNA from 1 species